rnacentral:rRNA from 1 species
AUUGAACGCUGGCGGCAUGCCUUACACAUGCAAGUCGAACGGCAGCGGGGGAGAAGCUUGCUUUUCCUGCCGGCGAGUGGCGAACGGGUGAGUAAUACAUCGGAACGUGCCCUGUAGUGGGGGAUAACUAGUCGAAAGAUUAGCUAAUACCGCAUACGACCUGAGGGUGAAAGUGGGGGACCGCAAGGCCUCAUGCUAUAGGAGCGGCCGAUGUCUGAUUAGCUAGUUGGUGGGGUAAAGGCCUACCAAGGCGACGAUCAGUAGCUGGUCUGGGAGGACGAUCAGCCACGCUGGGGCUGAGACACGGCCCGGACCCCUACGGGAGGCAGCAGUGGGGAAUUUUGGACAAUGGGCGAAAGCCUGAUCCAGCAAGGCGGCGUGUGGGAAGAAGGCCUUCGGGUUGUAAAGCACUUUUGUCCGGAAAGAAAUGGCUCUGGUUAAUACCUGGGGUCGAUGACGGUACCGGAAGAAUAAGGACCGGCUAACUACGUGCCAGCAGCCGCCGCAG